CCUGAAAAGGUGUACUCGGACAAUGGUCGAACUUUUGUCGGAGCUGCAUCGUGGAUAAAGAAAGUAAGAUCAAGUGAAAAGUUCAACGACUUCCUCGCUCACCAGGGAAUAACUUGGCAAUUCAAUCUCAGCAAAGCGCCCUGGUGGGGAGGGCAAUUUGAGCGUAUGGUUGGGCUAGUAAAGGGAGCUCUAAGAAAGUCCAUCGGGAAAAGUCUUCUGACGUUCACCGAACUUAAAGAAGUCCUGUUAGAUGUCGAGGUCGCUUUAAAUAACCGCCCCUUGUCGUAUGUAGAAGAUGAUAUCCAAAUGCCGUUGAUAACAACCGAAAGUAUGAUGCGUCCUCAGUCUAACUUGCUGCCAGAAUUGGAACCACACCUCGAAGAAACCGUACCAUUAAGGAAAAGAGCGAAGUACAUUAAAAAAUGUAAAGAUACAAUGUGGAAACGCUGGACGAAUGAGUAUUUACGGGGUCUUCGCGAACGACAUAAUUUCAAACACAGCAGAUCAUCCGGAACAGUGGAAAAAGGUGACGUUGUGAUCAUAAAGGGUGACGAGAAAGACAGAAAUCAAUGGAAAUUAGGGAUUUUGGACAAAGUGUUGCCUGGUAAAGAUGGUAUUGUACGAGCGGUGAGACUUCGGAGCGGGAAGAAACCAACUUGAAAGGCCGAUACAGCACCUUUAUCCGUUGGAGCUGAGACAUAGAAAGAAAUACGAAGACGAAUUUAAAUCCGGAGAUACCAGCCUUUCGACCGAGACGUAACGCAGCGGAGGUAGCGAAAGUUCGUAUAAGUGACAUUGCAGAAAAUGAAAACAGUAACUGAACUGACGUUUAAGAGUUGAACUUAUAGAUUGAUAUUGAUAAUAUUAUUAUAGGGUAAUGCAUGCAACAAGUGUAUUGAACACCUCCGGUGUUAAAUAGGGGAGUGUGUUGGAAACAGACUAUAAAUAGGUUAUGAACAAACACUAGAUAUGAACACCAUAUAAGGACAUAAUUAGUGUAUGAUUGACAUUUAGCAAAAACAACAUAGUGAGACAUUGCGAGUGAGAGAAAUAUAGGCGUGUAAACAUAGUACAACAUACGAAAUAAAAUCGAAUAAUUUGGCGAUUAAAAACACAGUGAAUUGUCGUGAAGGACGGCCCUUUUAGUAGAGCAUUCCGACAUCUCACACAAAGUAUGAAAGAAAUAACGUUUCAGUUUUCACAAUUCUUACCGGCAAAUGAGGCAAUAAAAAAUUUGGUGCCAACCAUGAAACAGCAAAAUUUACAAAGGACUGAUUACAUGGAGCGAUUUCAGCCUAGGAACUCAGCCCAGGCUGAAAAUUUUGAUGAUUACAUGGGCAUUUUC